rnacentral:rRNA from 1 species
UACGUAGGGCGCGAGCGUUGUCCGGAAUUAUUGGGCGUAAAGAGCUUGUAGGUGGUUUGUCGCGUCUGCUGUGAAAACCCGAGGCUCAACCUCGGGCCUGCAGUCGAUACGGGCAGACUAGAGUUCGGUAGGGGAGACUGGAAUUCCUGGUGUAGCGGUGAAAUGCGUAGAUAUCGAGAGGAACACCAGUGGCGAAGGCGAGUCCCUGGAAACACCUGACACUGAGGCACGAAAGCUAGGGAGCAAACAGG